CCUAGGUACAGUACUUCAGAUACCCCUUUUAAAAUUAAGACACUUGUUCAUUUACUUAACAGUGUACUGCCGUUUGCUUCUCCGUUUAUUUCUUUCCCUUCUUUUUCUUCUCCCUGUUUCAGACUAAAGACUUCCCACGAGAAAACUGAAAACCCCAAAAUCCCAAGCUCCUAUCGUUCUCUCUCUCCCUCUCUGUUCUUCUCUUUCUUUCCUUCUCUCUCAUUCAGAUGAGAUGAAAUAGUUUCUCCAAAAAAAAAAAGAUUAGAUGAAAUAGACGAAUCCAGCUCUGAAAAUAACUCAAUCUCGCUCUGAUUUCGUAGAUUGGUUGGCUGGCACUAAGAAAAUUUGUUGGUGAUGGGGAUCAAUUGCAAAAGGUUGUGGAAGUUCUAUCUGAUAUGAAGGGACUAGGAUUGUCUCCCAAUAGCACCCCGUAUUCCAUGUCUGCUGUGAUGUAUUUUAGGAACAAGACAAAAGCUUUGCUGUUGAUUUCAAUUGUUUGUAUUGACUCCUUUUAAAAUCUUAGUGAUUUGAUUCUUAAAGUGGUUACAUAUUUUAUGUUCAAUGGAAAAAUAAAAAUUAUAGUUAUCCCUAUCAGAUGUGAAAAACUCCCUAAAUAAUUAAAAUGGUGUUCAAUGUUACUUGAACACCAUUUUAAUGAUAAGAAUGUUUCCUUGAUGAUUUUAGAAAUAUAGUCUUUCUUGUCGAUAAUGAAUUUGACGAUCCUUUAAAUUGUCGUCUUUCUUGGCUGGUUUGCAGUUGCUUAACAUUUUUGAUAUUGCAUUUCAGCUCAAAUGCAGUUGCUUUUGUUAGAAAUCAACUUCAACAGCAUUGAGAUGUUCAGCUAGCUUGUGAUUUGUGAAGCAUUGGCUCAAGCAGUUCUGGAUCAACGAUCAGAAGAUAAUGUCAGCAUUGUCAUUGCUGAUUUAGGACAGAUUGGCAAAGUUUGCCACUUCAGGAUUUAUGAGAGAUGCAUCUCAAGGAUUGACCAUUCAUUCCUGGUCUAUUAAAGUCUGCCCAAAAAAUCUAUUCUCAUUCACCAAAAUGAGUUGAUCGAGUUCAUUAAUCGGACUGAUCCUGUUAUAUCUCCUCACUGAUUGGAAAGAAUAUCUUAGUAUUAAGAUGCAUCAAUGUUAAGCCCAGUAGGAGAACUGAAAGAAACAAUUAUAAUAUCCAAAAAUAUAUGCAUUGUUUGGACGAAAGAUUUAUACAACAUGGAGACAUAAAGUAAUUUGCAGCUCAACCAUUUCAAGUGUCUUGAGACAUAAAGUGAUUUGCAGCUCAACCAUUUCAAACGGCAGAAAGACGUGUUAGAUUGAAUAGGCAGUAGGACUUAAGAUGUUGAAUACAUUCAAAUUAUUUUGUACAAUUGCAAGUUAUAUAAAAAUUGCAAAAUAAGCAUUGUAUUUAA